rnacentral:tRNA from 2 species
UAGCUCAGUCGGUAGAGCGACGGACUGUUAAUCCGCAGGUCCCUGGUUCGAGCCCA